rnacentral:tRNA from 1 species
UAGAAUGGGGUGUUUUGGUAGCACGAAGAAUUUUGGAUUCUUAGGAAUAGGUUCAAGUCCUAUUGUUCUAG